rnacentral:rRNA from 1 species
UACGGAGGGUGCAAGCGUUAUCCGGAUUCACUGGGUUUAAAGGGUGCGUAGGUGGGCUAGUAAGUCAGUGGUGAAAUCUCCGGGCUUAACCCGGAAACUGCCAUUGAUACUAUUAGUCUUGAAUACCAUGGAGGUGAGCGGAAUAUGUCAUGUAGCGGUGAAAUGCUUAGAUAUGACAUAGAACACCAAUUGCGAAGGCAGGUCUCUGGACAGUUCCUGACGCUGAGGCACGAAGGUCAGGGGAGCAAACGGG